rnacentral:rRNA from 1 species
GACGGUAACAGCCCGGUAGUUGAAAUGGCUUUCCCUCCAGAGUGGAUCCUGAGUACGGCGGAACACGUGAAAUUCCGUCGGAAUCCGGGAGGACCAUCUCCCAAGGCUAAAUACUCCCUAGUGACCGAUAGUGAACCAGUACCGUGAGGGAAAGGUGAAAAGCACCCCGGAAGGGGAGUGAAACAGUUCCUGAAACCGUGUGCCUACAAGUAGUUAGAGCCCGUUAAUGGGUGAUAGCGUGCCUUUUGUAGAAUGAACCGGCGAGUUACGAUUUGUUGCAAGGUUAAGCGGAAAAAGCGGAGCCGUAGCGAAAGCGAGUCUGAAUAGGGCGCAUAAGUAACAGGUCGUAGACCCGAAACCAGGUGAUCUACCCAUGUCCAGGAUGAAGGUAAGGUAAUACUUACUGGAGGUCCGAACCCACGCACGUUGAAAAGUGCGGGGAUGAGGUGUGGGUAGCGGAGAAAUUCCAAUCGAACUUGGAGAUAGCUGGUUCUCUCCGAAAUAGCUUUAGGGCUAGCCUCGAGGUAAAGAGUCAUGGAGGUAGAGCACUGUUUGGACUAGGGGCCCUUCUCGGGUUACCGAAUUCAGAUAAACUCCGAAUGCCAUGUACUUAUACUCGGGAGUCAGACUGCGAGUGAUAAGAUCCGUAGUCGAAAGGGAAACAGCCCAGACCACCAGUUAAGGUCCCCAAAUAUAUGUUAAGUGGAAAAGGAUGUGGGGUUGCUUAGACAACCAGGAUGUUGGCUUAGAAGCAGCCACCAUUGAAAGAGUGCGUAAUAGCUCACUGGUCGAGUGACCCCGCGCCGAAAAUGUACCGGGGCUAAACAUAUUACCGAAACUGUGGAUGAACCUCUUUAGAGGUUCGUGGUAGGAGAGCGUUCUAAGGGCGGUGAAGUCAGACCGGAAGGACUGGUGGAGCGCUUAGAAGUGAGAAUGCCGGUAUGAGUAGCGAAAGAAGGGUGAGAAUCCCUUCCACCGAAUAUCUAAGGUUUCCUGAGGAAGGCUCGUCCGCUCAGGGUUAGUCGGGACCUAAGCCGAGGCCGAUAGGCGUAGGCGAUGGACAACAGGUAGAGAUUCCUGUA